AGUGAUCCUACGGGGGGCAGCAGUGGGGAAUAUUGCACAAUGGGCGAAAGCCUGAUGCAGCAACGCCGCGUGAGCGAUGAAGGCCUUCGGGUCGUAAAGCUCUGUUUUAUGGGAAAAUAAUGACGGUACCAUAGGAGGAAGCCCCGGCUAACUACGUG
rnacentral:rRNA from 1 species